rnacentral:rRNA from 1 species
CAGCAGCCGCGGUAAUACGUAGGUGGCAAGCGUUGUCCGGAUUUAUUGGGCGUAAAGCGAGUGCAGGCGGUUCAAUAAGUCUGAUGUGAAAGCCUUCGGCUCAACCGGAGAAUUGCAUCAGAAACUGUUGAACUUGAGUGCAGAAGAGGAGAGUGGAACUCCAUGUGUAGCGGUGGAAUGCGUAGAUAUAUGGAAGAACACCAGUGGCGAAGGCGGCUCUCUGGUCUGCAACUGACGCUGAGGCUCGAAAGCAUGGGUAGCGAACAGGAUUAGAUACCCUGGUAGUCCAUGCCGUAAACGAUGAGUGCUAAGUGUUGGGAGGUUUCCGCCUCUCAGUGCUGCAGCUAACGCAUUAAGCACUCCGCCUGGGGAGUACGACCGCAAGGUUGAAACUCAAAGGAAUUGACGGGGGCCCGCACAAGCGGUGGAGCAUGUGGUUUAAUUCGAAGCAACGCGAAGAACCUUACCAGGUCUUGACAUCCAGUGCAAACCUAAGAGAUUAGGUGUUCCCUUCGGGGACGCUGAGACAGGUGGUGCAUGGCUGUCGUCAGCUCGUGUCGUGAGAUGUUGGGUUAAGUCCCGCAACGAGCGCAACCCUUGUCAUUAGUUGCCAUCAUUAAGUUGGGCACUCUAAUGAGACUGCCGGUGACAAACCGGAGGAAGGUGGGGAUGACGUCAAGUCAUCAUGCCCCUUAUGACCUGGGCUACACACGUGCUACAAUGGACGGUACAACGAGAAGCGAACCUGCGAAGGCAAGCGGAUCUCUGAAAGCCGUUCUCAGUUCGGACUGUAGGCUGCAACUCGCCUACACGAAGCUGGAAUCGCUAGUAAUCGCGGAUCAGCACGCCGCGGUGAAUACGUUCCCGGGCCUUGUACACACCGCCCGUCACACCAUGAGAGUCUGUAACACCCAAAGCCGGUGGGAUAACCUUUAUAGGAGUCAGCCGUCUAAGGUAGGACAGAUGAUUAGGGUGAAGUCGUAACAAGGUAGCCGU